GGCAAGAAUGAUCCAAAGUUCAAGAGUAUGUUAUACAUCUGUUAGCGUUAACUUCUAUGAUAAAUGCAGAUUAAUUUAAUUGUUCAGAAUGCAGAUGUCGUUGAUGCGAGUUUCUUGGCUCCAUAUAAUUUUUUUCUUCUUGUUCUGAAACAAGUAAAAGUUGAGUUUGCGACUCUUUUUCUUCACUAAUUGCUACUGUAACGGUUUGCUGUGGUGCCCGUAAGGUAUUUUUGAUUCCAUUACAACUCACAAAUUGCAUUAACGUUUCUGUUUUUUUUUCUUUGGUUCUUUUCAUUCUUGAUGUUUAUAGGGAUUUGACAUUUGUAAUCAAUCUUGCUUUACAUUUUAGUUGAUUGGAGUUACCCUCUUCCAUGAUUUCUGACCCAAAAUCAUGCAUCUAUCAAUAGAGUGAAAAUUGGUGAUUUUGAUUGACUCAGCCCAAUUUCAAAAAGUUGGCUUUUAUAUAAUAAACAAGACUUGUUUAAACAAAGUUCCGUAUUUUCAGUGAUUAGUGGAUAUUCUUUGUUGAAAUGUGGGUAAAAUGCCUAAUUUUUUAUAGAACUCUCACUCAUCUCUUAUGUAUUGAUGUUGCCGAGGUGGUUGAUGGAUGAAAAAUUUCUAGUAGGGUUCAUUUCAGUGUUGUCAAAGGCUCAUUUGGGACACACUUAGUCUUGAAGCUCAGGCUAAGUACUUGGCUUCACUUUGGCUGCGUUUCAGUGUAUGCAAGGCGCGAAGGUUUGUGAGUCAUUGACCACAAGUUCUAUCUUGUAUAUAUUUGUUGCAGUAGUUAUCUGGAGAUCUCAUAUGAUGGAAAUCAAGGAAGACAGAAAUGAUGGAUCCUUGGUUUUAGUCAAGCUCGGAGCUGAGGCUAUAGCUGAGAGUUUCAUGUCAACUUUGUGCUAGGAGGUCCAAUGUUUACAAAGAAAUACAGGCAUCUAAUUGUGGAAUCAGAGCUUACUCGUGAAGACUUAAAUGGAGUUGGAGGCCAGGUGCAUGACAAAGCAAUACUCUAGUGCUUUAUGCAAUUGAAGCUGCUACGCAUCUCACCUUUGAGUAUGUUGAAGGUCCCUCGUGAAAAUAUAUUCCUUGGUUUGGUUUACUUGAGAUUAUUGAAGAAACGGUCACAGAUGAACUGAUUGAUGAUGCUAUUGGAAAACUACAUAAUGGUGGCAUUUUCCAUGGGUUUUGGUGACAUCAAACAUGUCAAUGAGGUUUGCUGCCAAUCUGCUGGCUGAUGUUCUGCAUUCACCUUUUGUAAAAUUAGGUACUAUCCAAAUUUUCUUUUUCUUGCGGGUACUGAUUGACUUUUGACUAAGCAUUACUUCAACACUUCCAGGUGAUAAAGCAGUGGAUUUAUAUGUACUGGAAGUGCUCUCUAUUCACUCUUCUUGUUGAAAUCUAAUAAGCUUGGUCAUAUUACCUAUGUUAUAUGUUAUUUGACAUGUUCUAGAAUGAACAUCUUCUCAAGCGUUUUGUUCUUCUCUUAUCUAUACUUUUUUUACUGAUAUGUGAUCUCUACAGUAGAUCAUAAUCUGUUCCAGGGAAAGAAAGUGUUAAACUUUUGGUAACUCUUUUCAAAUAAUUUUUUCCGUUGUCCCAAGUAUUAAUGCCAUUCAAGUAUUGUGCAAGAAACCUGCAGUUAUUCCAUCUAAGCAGUAUUUCUAGUGGUAUUAAUGGUUUUCUACAUCUCUGAAAGUGCUCUUUUCUGUCAUGUGCUUCUGAUGAGAAUUUUUUCUGAUAUUAGACUAAGCCUUCUUAAGGAUUAAGUUGGUCUUAAUGCGAACCUAUCACUUCUAUUUUGCUUGCUCUUGAGAAUACAAGUUCUGCUUGGCACGGCAUUUCACAUUGGUGUCACUGAGCUGUACAAUUCUCUGAUCUCUUCAUUUUUUGCAACCAACAUAGAUAGCGAUUUUACUUUUAGUCUCGACCUGUAACCGUGAGCAGAUGGGCCAGAUAAUUGCUGCAUACAAGAAAUCCUGAAAGUAACGGCUGUUCUUGUUCAACAAGCUAGCCAAGGAGCAACCUAUGUUCCUAUAUGUCUCUUUCUGUUAACUAACUCGUUUUCUUCGGAAGAAUGAAUCGUGUCAAAUAUCAAAUACUAUAUCUUACUGUGUUUCUGCUUUGGGUUUUGUGAUAUAUCAGUGAGGCUGAGAGAUAGAAACCGUAAUAUGAUUUGUUUAGCUUCCCAGUUAGAGUUGAACUAUGUUCUUGCUGUGCAUCUAUUACCUUUUUUGUUUUAUUUUUCAAAAAGAUCAAGUUUAUAUGCCUUUGUCUCUUCUAAAGGGUAAGUGUCUUGCCUAUCACUCCAACUUAUCAAUUGCAGAUGCCUGUAUAAUCUUAUAUGACUAAAUCAUCAAAGCCGUCCUCUUAACUAUUUUUCUCCUUUGAGGUAUACAUCAGUUCUUUCUAUUAAUUUAGAGAGGGACAGUACUAUCAUGGUAAUCUGGCUUGUCCUAUGCUUGUCUCAUGGAUCCUAGGACAACUGCAUUCUUUAAUAUAUUUACCUCUUCUCUUUGCACCUCUUUAUUCCCAUUCAAAGUAUCAUUCAAUAGUGUACUUAGAAAUAUUCUUCAGACGUUCUUAAUUUAGGGUCAUGUUCUCUAAGGCACAGCAGAUCUGAGAUAUCCUUUUCAGAAACAACAGACCAUAGUUAUGUGCAGAGAUUAAAGGGAGUUACAUCUCUAUGCUGCGGGAAUUUAUUUUUCCUCUGCUGUGGAGAGCACGACUUAGCAGAAUGUUUGGUCACAAUUAGAGCGGACAAUGUUUUUGUCUAUGCCUGUCAACUUUCCUUGUUUAAAUUGUUCUUCACACAUUUGUCCUGUUUAUGCAUUUUUACAAUAUGUUUGCUUGUUAAGAGUGCCCUUACUUUUUCAUGAAUAGUUUUCCAAUUGCUUUACAUUAAAUAUCAAUGCUAGGGGCAGGAGAAACAGAAUGCUUGGAGCACUGACAGAUAUGUUUUGGUUGCUAAGUCGGGUUUUUAUUGUGGUUCUAACUCAUUUAGAGUUGCCCAGAAUUACAAAUUUUCUGUUCAUACAUGGUGAUCUGUGUUUUAAAAUUUCUUUUGGUUGGCUGCAUAUUUACAUUUUAUGAGCCCAGAAGGCUGUACAUUAUAAACAUGACAUUUUCCAUGCCAUGUGACUGCAUGUGAAUCAGUAUAAUUGAACUACAUCUGUGGUCCUUAUAGUGCAAUUAAAUGCAUUACUAUAGUAUUUGAUUCAACAACAACGACACACGUAGUGUAAAUUCCACAAGUGGGGUUUGAGGAGAGUAGGAUCUAUGCGGACGUUUGUGGGGUACAGAAGUUGUUUCUAGUAGAUCCUCAGAUCAAAAGAAGUGUCUUAUAGUAUUUCAUUUUACUUCCAAAACAUAGGUUCUGCUUUCAUGCUGGUUUAGGUCAUGGCUAUGUCAAUUUCAAUGCAAUUUGAGAAAGUACAAUGUUUUUCUCACCUAAUAAACGCUUGAACUCUUUUGCAACUCUCUCAAAUGUGCUACAGUGAACCAAGUUAUUUCGUUGUGUUUUGAGUUAGGAGUUAAGCUGUAUCUAUUUGAUUAUUUACUCAUUAAAACUUAAAGUAAAAACCUUAUAAUAACUUUGAUUGAUCAAUACAUUUUGAGAGAUUGCACUUCUUCCUGUCGCUUUUAAACUUUGAUAUUGUUCUUUCCUUGUGAACUAUUUUGACUAGGCUACAAAAUGUAAAGAACUACAUACGGGAUUUACCUUAUGGUACUAGCACUACCUGGUCAAGUAAAAAAAGAAUAGCACAUCCUGACACGAUUGCGAGUUUACAAGUUGAUGUAAUAUUCUUGGCACCAUUAUGUAAUCUCUCUCUAUGUUUUCAUUGAUAGGGAAGUCAUCACAUCACUCUUGGAUGUGCAUUCACUAGUGCAACGGACAGAUACAUACACAUGUGCCAAGUGGUGAUCAAACUUUGAGCAUGACGCCAAUUCUGGAAUCGCGAUACCAGGUCCACAUAUUUACCCAAAUAUAGUGUAGUACAAGAUUCUCUUUUUUAAAAGAAAUAUUUUUUUAUUUUUGGAGAUGUAGUUAAAGUUGCUAGUGACACUGGUGGUGAAUUUAAGUCACACGUUGGGAUGAAUUCUGAUGCAAGAGCUUACACAAAUUUAGCCAAACACUCAGUAAGUACUCUUCUGACUUUUUGCCUUUUACAGCAAACACCAGUCAGAUGAAAACUUCAAUAUAAUCUGCAGUUUCUUUAGAGUAACGUGUUGCUUUAGUUGGGAAUGAGAGUCUUUGAUUUCUGAUUGACAAAGCCAGUACUACUGCCAAGUUUGUGCACUUAAUCUUGUUUACUAACAUCAUUUACAUCGACAUAUUUAUCGUGUUUGUUGGUACAAUAUAAAUGUGAUCUCAUUACAUGUAUAUAUAUUUCGAGCUUUUUUUGGUCA